rnacentral:rRNA from 1 species
AAUUUGUUUCCUAAUUAGAUAAUAGUAUGAAUGAAUACCCCCCUUACAAAUUUGUUAUAAAGGGAGUCGCCAAAAUUAAAAUUUUGAUGAAAAUUUCAAAAUCUAAAACUUAGACGAUAAGACCCUAUGAAGCUUGAUCAAGAGGGUUAAAAACUUUCAUGGUGUUUCCUUAUUGAUUUAAUUGGGGCAAUGGCUAAUAGAAAUAUUAUGACACUCUUUAAUCUUGUAGAUCCUAAAAGGACCUUAUGAAUAAGCUACUCUAGGGAUAACAGCACUAUAGUUAAAAAAGUUCUUAUUAGAAUAACUGC